GAGAAACUCAGCGCUCGAGCGAAACAGAAUGAGUGGUCUGAGCAGGAGCUGCAGUUAAUUUUGCAGAACACCUCGGAAAGUGGCACAGUCUGGUUGCUUUUCAGGUGGCCAGCUCAGCCACAAGGCGUCACCUUUUCCUGAACAGGAGAGUUAUUAACCCACAUGCUAAUCUGUGUAUGCCUGGCACAGCAGCUCAUCUUCUGUGGGACAGCCAGUCAGAUCAGCUCGACCCAAUGAUUCAACUGAAUGGUGAAGCUAAGCAGGACUGUUCACGGUUAGUACUGAAGAUUUCCUCUGUCCAAAUAAGUCCAACUGCAGGACAGAGGAAGGAAUGGUGGGGACCUCAGACUGCACGCUGAGACUCCGUGCCCUCAGGGCCCACGUGCAAGCAGGACUCUUUCUCCUCCAUCUGCAGUAAUGCUGCCUCAGCUGAAACCAGCCACAGAGGGAGCUGUGACACAGAAUCUGCAUGUUCACCACAUACUGCACACGCAGGACAGAGCUUAGACACACUGCACACACAGGACAGAGCUUAGACACACUGCACACA